rnacentral:rRNA from 1 species
AGGUGGGUAGAAUAUACCAAGGGGAGCGAGAGAACCCUCGUUAAGGAAUUAGGCAAAUUUCCCCCGUACGUUCGCAAUAAGGGGGGCCUCUGGUGGUGAGCUUAAUCGCAAAGCUGCUGGAGGCCGCAGAGAAAUGGCUCUUCCAACUGUUUAACAAAAACACAGGUCUCUGCUAAGUCGAAAGACGAAGUAUAGGGGCUGACGCCUGCCCAGUGCUGGAAGGUUAAGGGGAGAGGUUAGGCGCAAGCCGAAGCUUUGAGCCGAAGCCCCAGUGAACGGCGGCCGUAACGAUAACGGUCCUAAGGUAGCGAAAUUCCUUGUCGGGUAAGGUCCGACACGCACGAAUGGCGUAAUGAGAGGAGCACUGUCUCAACGAGGGACUCGGCGAACAUUGAAGGACGUGUGAAGAUACACGUGACCCGCAGCGGGACAAAAAGACCCCGUGAAGCUUUACUACAACUUGCCAUUGAGUUAGGGCUAAACCUGUGUAGUAUAGGUGGGAGGCUUUGAAGCUGGGACGCCAGUCUCUGUGGAGCCACCGUUGAAAUACCACCCUGGUUUAUUCUUGGCUCUAACCUGUCGCCGUUAUCCGGCAUGGGAACAGUGGCUGGUGGGUAGUUUGACUGGGGCGGUCGCCUCCGAAAGCGUAACAGAGGCGCCCAAAGGUUCCCUCAGGCUGAAUGGAAACCAGCCGUUGAGUGUAAAGGCACAAGGGAGCUUGACUGCAAGACCAACAAGUCGCGCAGGGACGAAAGUCGGGCUUAGUGACCCCACGGUUCAGAGUGGAAUGGCCGUGGCUUACCGGAUAAAAGCUACUCCGGGGAUAACAGGGUAGUCUGGUCCAAGAGUUCAUAUCGACGACCAGGUUCGCCACCUCGAUGUCGGCUCAUCACAUCCUGGGGCUGGAUAAGGUCCCAAGGGUUGGGCUGUUCGCCCAUUAAAGUGGUACGUGAGCUGGGUUCAGACCGUCGUGAGACAGGUCGGUCUCUAUCCGCUGUGGGCGUAAGGGAUUUGAGAGAAGCUGCCCCUAGUACGAGAGGACCGGGGUGGACGGACCUCUAGUGUGCCAGUUGUUCUGCCAAGAGCAUUGCUGGGUAGCUACGUCCGGCAGAGAUAACCGCUGAAAGCAUCUAAGUGGGAAACUCGUCUCAAGAUUAGAUCCCUCAUCCGUAUGGAGUAAGACCGCUAGAAGACUACUAGUUUGAUAGGCGGCAGGUGUAAGCGCAGUAAUGUGUUCAGCUUAGCCGUACUAAUGGUCGAGGGCUUACGUUU